rnacentral:rRNA from 1 species
UACGUAGGGUGCAAGCGUUGUCCGGAUUUAUUGGGCGUAAAGAGCUCGUAGGCGGUCUGUCGCGUCGGAUGUGAAAACCCAGGGCUCAACCCUGGGCCUGCAUUCGAUACGGGCAGACUAGAGUGUGGCAGGGGAGACUGGAAUUCCUGGUGUAGCGGUGAAAUGCGCAGAUAUCAGGAGGAACACUGGUGGCGAAGGCGGGUCUCUGGGCCGAUACUGACGCUGGAGGAGCGAAAGCGUGGGGAGCAAACAGG